UUGUUAAUUGUUUAUCUUUUAUAUUAAUAAAUCGUUUUGAUUUCAAUUAUUGUUCCACUAAUGUGAUUGAUAUAAUAAUCCAUCAGUGGAAACAAUUAACUCCUAUCAUCAUUUUGAUUUCUUCUUCUUUUCCAAUCUUCAUUGUGUCAACUCUUUUUCCUCUAUUUGCUUUAUAGUUUCUCCAAUGUUUUCAACAUUAACAGUUCUCAUUUUGUAAUUUACUUUUUUCAUCUCUAUCAUUAAUACUUGUUGAUUGUUGUCAUUUCCUAUUCUAUUACAUUGAUUUGAAUAUUCUCAUUGUCCAUCGUCCAUUGUGUCCUCAUGUCAACAUUUUCUGGCUAAUAGGUCAUCUCGAUUUCUCCCUCUCUUUUUUUCUAUUGGGGUGGGGCUGUAUUUAUGUGUGUCCAGUGGCCCUAAUUGUUGUUCUAUUGUAAUAUCAUCUAAAUGGUCAAGUUAAUUUCACUUUCGGCCCAUCAUCAUAAAGGUCAUUCGCUUUGUAAUCAUCUUGUAGCCCGUAAACUUGGAUAAUAUUAACAUCUAUUAACAUGAGUAUAUUGUAGCUUAUUGUUAAAUCGGAUUAACGGUUGGACAAGAAGAAGAAUGGAAGUACAAAUUCCCUCUGUAAAUUAUCACCAUUAAGAUGAUUAAGAUUUAUAUCGAUCUGCUAAUUGGUCUUUUAUUGGUUCCAUGUAAAUCCAAGUCUAAAGUAAAAGAUCAAGUGAGACAAUUGAGAUGAUGGUUAACAAUUAAAAAUACUCAUAAGCCAUUAAAUCCUUGUUUGAACACAGGGAAGACAAGAUAAUGUGAUUUUAAUGAAAUUUAAUGGAUUAGCUGUUGUUUUUUUCUUUGCCACUUCACAGACGAAAUUAACUCGAUCAAUUUGGAAAAGAAACUAUGGAUUAACCCAACUUUACUGUAAUUAAAGUGACACUUUAAUUAUAAUCAGCGACAAUUGAUUGUUGAACAACCGAAACUUGAAUAACCUCAUCGGCCUUGAUGAUGUUAAUCCUGAUUUCAAGUGACUUUAAUCAUCAUGAUGGUUUUAUAAUUAAUAUGGAAAGUUAAGUGAAGUGUUACUCAUAAAUGCAGUUGAACAACAAUUAACUACAGUAAUUAAAGAAAAAAUUUAUUAAUAAAUCAAUGAUUUAUUAACUGAGUAUUGGCAAAGGAUCAACCCAACAAUUGACCAGAAAAAGACACAAAGACAUCAUUUUUCAUUCCAAUAAUAAUAAUCAAUGUGUUUUCUUCAUGGUUAUUGAUAUUUUUCUCAUCACUUUAGACACACCACAAUUAUGACAAGCCAAAGAUGAUGACGAUGAGAUGAUGAUUAGCCAAGAAUAGAAAGAUUCUGAUUAACUUAUGAUGAUUUAACUAAUUAUAACACAAUCCAGCAAUCAAAGAGCGUCAAAAGUUAUCCAAUUGCAAAAGGCAAAAGAGUUUACAAGCCAAGAGACAAAUCAAACUAAACUUUUCUUUUUUUCUCCUGGUAACAAACAUUGGAAUCAACAAUUAACUAACCAAUAAUUUAACCAAUCAACUGGAGCAGUGAAAAAACUAAUCACCAACUUUAAUCAAUCAAAUUUAGAUUAAUUAUACUUCCCAAUGAUGAGUGGACAACAAAAUCGCUGGUGUAACAUGUUGGAUGAAAAAUGAAUUCAAUUUACCAAAAAAGAGACAUUUAAUCAUUGGAUUUACUUAAUGAUCAAAAUUUGAUCACAAUCAAUGGAUUAUCAUUUAUUAUUAUUAUCAACAUUGUAAUCAUUGAUUGUAAAAAGAUAAUAACAAUUUGUUUCUUUUUUUUCUGAAAGUCGAUCUCAUAUGGAAAAAGGAUCAACUGAUGAGGAUAAAAAGGAGAUGAGGAUGACAAAAGGAUAAAAGAGUCGAGGAUAAGCUUACAUAGUCUUACAUAAUCAUCAUCUCCAUCAUCUUCCUUCAUCAUCCAUACUUUUCAAUGUAACGAUCAUCUUGAAAGUCGAUCUAAACUAAAGCCACGAGGCGAAAACAAAGCAAGAAAAAAAUGACAACAAGACGAUAACCAACAUGAUCAUCAAGAGAUGGAAAUUUUUAAAAUACUAUUAUUAUCAUUUUCAUCAUAAUCAAGAUAAUGCUGACACAAAAGUAACAAGAAACUAUUCCAAAUGAUGAUGAUCCUCAUCUCGAAUCGCCUGUUGAAACAACAUGCACCAAUCAACCUCCUCGAACCCAAAAUUCCGGACAAAAAUAUUUCAUCAGCGAGGAAAAUUUUUCAUUUAUAAACAUAAAUGAUAACAUAGGAAUCACAUAGAUGCCUGGAUAAAUAUCGCGAAUACAAUCAUUAGCAUUAUCAUCAUCAUCAUCAUCAUCAUCAAAUAUAUCAUCAUCAGUAUCAUUAGCCUUUCAAGAGCAAGGUUAAAGGUCCAAUAUCAUCAUCAUCCUUGUCAUCAAUGUUGGACUGGAAAAGCUGAAAAAACUUUGAGUCUACAAAUUGAAUACAAAUUUUCAAUUAUUUUUAUGAAUGAAAAAUCUGAUCUUGAUUCCUUAUCAUCAUUGCAAAUAUAUAUAAAAAACUACAAUACAUGGAUGAUAAUAAUGAUAGUAAUGAUGAUGAUAAAAUACGUGACUCUAGCAAAAGAAGAUGAUAAAAAUAACUUUUCAUGUCAAAUGAUGCGAAAAUGAAAACGAGACCUUUGUCUUGAUAAUAAAGAUGAUCAUCCAUCCUCAUCAUCCUCAUCAUCUAUUGAUGGCUCUCGAAGGACAAACUUGAAAAUUACAAUUUUCACAUUUGAAGAUAAACAAAAUGUUCAUUUUCAUCAUCAUCAUCAUCAUUAUCACAACUUGUCGAUAGCAUUGAAAUAGUGGCUCACUAGUUACUUAUCAUUUUCUUCAUCAUUUUUAUCAUCAUUGAAACUUAUGAUUAAAAACUGAAACUGUUUCAAUGCAAACAAAAACUAUUCCCAUUGACCUAUGGUAAUAAAUUUAUAUUAUCAUGAUGAUUAUUAUUGACACAGUUUUAGUAUCAUCAUUAAAUUGUUAAUCUUUA